rnacentral:tRNA from 1 species
GCUUUUGGUUCAGUGGUAGAAUGCUCGUCUGCCACGCGGGCGCCUCGGGUUCGAUUCCCGGCCGAUGCA